rnacentral:rRNA from 1 species
UACGUAGGUGGCAAGCGUUGUCCGGAUUUACUGGGCGUAAGGCGUAUGCAGGCGGAUACUUAAGUCGGAAGUGAAAGGUGGGAGCUCAACUCCCACAUUGCUCCCUAUACUGGGUGUCUUGAGUGGCGGAGAGGGAGAUGGAACGACACGUGUAGCGGUGAAAUGCGUUGAUAUGUGUCGGAACAUCAGUGGCGAAAGCGACUUCCUGGACCAAUACUGACGCUCAUGUGCGAAAGCGUGGGGAGCAAACAGG